AAAAUCAUGCGUUUUUUUUGCAUUGGGUGUCAUUUGUGAGAGAACACAGGAACGAAAUGGAUAUCGAAAAUUUAAUUAGCGAAGUAUUUUUACGCCCAGCGCUAUGGGACCAAAAGAGCAAAAACUAUCACAACAGAAUUUUGGUGGAAAAAAAUUGGACAGAAAUUGAAAACAUGUUAGAAACGUCAAAAGACGGCUUAAAAAAAAUGGAAGAACCUCCGGGACCAAUUCCGCAACGAAUGGAAAAAAAUUCCUAUUUCAAAAUCUGGCGACUCUGGUGUUUUAGAGGAGGCU